ACAGGUCAAAUAAUCACCCCCCAGGACAUUGGUACCAAUAUAAACCAAAUGAAAUAUCACCAUAAACAUGAUUUUGGCCAUAGCCAUGAUAUUUGGUUUUAUACUGCAACAUAAAUCAAAAAAUGUGGAAACAACUGUUACAAACUGACAAUGGAUAAACCUUUAGUCAGAAACAAUAAUACCAAACAAUUAAGAUUAAUCCACCAAAUCAUAGAUGAAUAUGAUACUGUAAGAAUCUUUAGUAUUGUUAUAUUAUAUUGUAUUAUGCAUGGUUUUAUGUUUCUUAUACCUCACUGAGAGCAGACAGAGUCAAAUGGAAUCCCUAUGGAGAUGUGAAGGAGGUGUUUUUGUGCUGGAGUAUAUCACUGUGAUAUGGGGUUUGGGGACACAGUGAAAUGAGGCUGUACAAAAACCUCGGAGACAAAACCUGCAUUAUAUUUGCCUGGGGAUUGGGACAAUAUGGAGAAACCAUACAGUAUUCUUCAAAUGACCGUCUGAUGUUGAUAUAACCCCAUUGUACUUUUUUUUACAUUUUCAAAAAGUAUGUUUUGAUGGAGUGAUGUCAUGACAUGGACCUGAGCAUCAGAUUUUAAAAGGUGCAGUGUUUUUGUACAGGCAUUGGAUGGAGACAUAGCACUGUGAUGCUUUUGACUACUGGGGUAAAGGGACACAAGUCACCGUCUCAACAGCAACCACAGCCCCCUCUUCCCUAUUCCCUCUUAUGAACUGUGGAACCCCUUCUAACGACAUCUACAGCAUCGGUUGUGUCGCUACCGGCUUUUCGCCUUCCUCAAUCACCUUCAAAUGGACAGACGCCAGCGAGAGUCCGCUGACAGACUUUGUCCAGUACCCUUCGGUUCAGAGCGGGGGAGCCUACAUCGGAGUCAGUCAGGUCCGCGUGUCUAAGAAUGACUGGGAAAAGUCAAAGUCUUUCAGGUGUUCUGUGGAACAUCCUGGAGGUGGAAAGACAGCAGUCAUCAAAAAAACAGUCCCAAAGUCUCCAACAGUGUCUUUGCUGUCGGCGCCCAUUGGCACCACCCAGUACCUGAUGUGUAUGAUUGAAGAUUUCACCUCCAACACAGUCACUGUCACCUGGAAGAAGAAUGACAUGGAGGUGGAGGGCCAGACCCCUACUCUAGUCAAACAGCCGUCAGGCCUCUACUCAGGCAGCAGUCUGCUGAAGGUCAUCAACACUAACUGGAACAACAAGGUCAAGUACAGCUGUGUGGUGCAGCACCAGGAACAAACCAUCAACAAGACGAUCUCCAAAACAGAACCACUGACGGUGACUCUGAACCCACCGCGUGUGAGAGAGGUGUUCUUGGACAACCAAGCAGUGCUGGAAUGUGUCAUCACUGGUACAGACCAGGACACAGUGUCUGGUACCACUAUCACUUGGCAGGUCAAUGGAGAGGACAAGAUGGAUGGCAUCGAUCUGAAAAAUAUUGAAUCAAAGGGCAACCUGAACAGCAGGGUCAGUACUCUGACCAUAGGCCAGACGGAGUGGACCAAUGUGAACAAAGUCCAGUGUUCUGCCAUGAAGAGUGGUGAAGACACACCGGUCAUUCAGGACCUCAGCUUCACCAAAGGAAGUGUAGCCCCUUCAGUGUCUGUCCACCUUCUACCGGAGGAAGACACCAAGAAGGAGGGGGAAGUGACUCUGGUGUGCCUGGUGGUCUGCCCGUCUCUCUGUGAUGUUUACAUCAUGUGGCAGGUGGACAGCGGUCAGUACCAGGAGGGGGUCACCAGCCCUCCUCAGAAAACCCAGAAAGCCAACUACUUCGUCACCAGCGUCUUCACCACCACCAAGGAUAAGUGGGAGAGAAACUUGGUUUUCACAUGCGCCGUCAAGCAUGCCGGCUCGGACAACAACACCGCACUUAAGGAGAGGAGAGUGUCCAAGUCCAUGGCGAACAUCCUACUGACUGAGCCUGAGGCGGGCUUCGCUCUGAGCUGCACAGACAACGAUGAGGAUGAGUUCAGCAGCCUGUGGUCCACCACCUCCUCCUUCAUCAUCCUCUUUCUUCUCUCUCUCACCUACAGCACAGUACUCAGCCUGGUCAAGAUGAAGCAGUGAAGAACACAUGAUGGACUGCAGAGAUAGAUGUGUCUAGAUUAGAAAGAUAAUGGUCUGUGAUGGUUAUAGCAUAGUGUUCUUCAGUAAUAAUGUUAUGUAUAUAUCCAAUACAUUAUUGAUUAUGAUUGAUUAGUAUUGUUGUUCUCAAUAUUAUUCAAGCAUUGUGGUGAUAUGUUAUUUUUAAUUCAUUGAUUUAUAUUGUACAGUAUCUUAAAAUAUAAGUGUAUACUGUGAUGUCUGUGUGUCCUUUUUCACUUUAAGUUGUUGUCUUUUUACUGAGACAUCCACUGGAUGCUAACACUGGGCCAACGACACGUCCUAUAUACAAAUACAUUACUGAUUGGAGUGUUUCUGCUUGGCAGAGUUAUCUAUGGAGCCAAUUUACAGCUGUAGUUCCUCCCAGGACAGAUUAAAACAACGUUAGGAUAUCUGUAAUACUCAACUAAGACUUCAACAUUCUGUUAUCAGUUGAUCUGUGGUGGUUUCUUGGUUCUCUAACUUGUCUAAUAAUAGUAUAAUGCAAAAGCAGCUUCCUCUCUCUCUAUCCCCUUGAUACCACACCUGUGGCAAUGAAACUGUCCAGCAACUGCCAGGGCCACAAAUACACUUCCUUGAAAAAUGUACAACAGCAAUGUACGCACGCUUGCACACAGAAAUAUACUGUAUAUAUAGUGAGCUACAAAAGUAUUGGAACAGAGACACGUUUGGUGGAUUUGGCUCUGGACUCCAGCAUUUUAGAUUUGAAAUGAUUCAAUGACAAUGAGGUUAAAAUGCAGACUAUCAACUUUAAUACGAGGGAAUUUUCAUCUAUAUCUGUUGACCCAUUUAGAAAUUACAGCACUUUCUGUACAUUGUCCCCCAAUUUUACAAAUCUGCUUAUUAUACAGUACAGUAUAUUAAAGUAGUCAAAUCUGCUUAUUAUAGUUUAGUAUUUGGUCCCAAAUUCCGAGCACAUAAUAAUUACAUUAAGCUUGUGACUCUACAAAUUUGUUCAAUGCAUUUGCUGUUUGUUUUGGUUGUGUUUCAGAUAGUUUUUGUGCCCAAUAAAAUAAAUGGUAAAUAA